CUCCAAUCAUUCAAAUCUGUAGCUUUGCUGUUGCUUUAUCAACAACGCAACUGUCUGAUAAUUUAACGCCAUUGCUUGCCACUAGUUCAAUGUCUAUCCUCAAGCUCGCCACUCUCUACCAUUUCUUCUGGAUGGAACAAUAUUCCCCCCCAAUCUUUUGAGACAAUCGUCAAUAUAACUUCAAAUUUUCAUUAACAAAACGAUGAUGUCCACCCAUAUAAGCAAGCAAGCAACCAUAUAUGCCACUCAAAAGGAAACUUACAAAUUUAUGCUUACAAGGCUAGACCGGUUAAACCUCGUUCAUGUUUUCCUUCAGUCCCUCUUUUCCUUAAACUCAUUGACCAAUAUUUCUCGACUCACCGUGUUCACGACCUCUAGAUUUGCUACUUACAAGGCCCGAUUUCAUAAUUUCAAGCAUCUAAACGUGAACGUUUUCGGAACUCAACUCGGAGCUUCAAAUUUUAAGGGUUUGGAAUUUGGUGAAGAUUAAAAAAAACACAACAAAUGCAGGUGCAAAAUACAACACGGAAUAGUAACUGACACAAAAGCAAUUCAAGAAAUAUAUAUAUACAACAGUUAAAUUAAGCUUUGUUAAGAACCACUUAAUGAAAACAAGAUUAUUCUAUAUUUGAUCAAGAAAA